CAGCGCCUCGGGACCCGGCCGGGCACCUCCCCCGGCAUCGCCGCCCCCCUCCUCCGGGAGCUGCCGCCGCUGCUGCCCGGGCCCGGCGUCCACCUCCUGCACGGCACCAGCCCCCUGGCUUUCGACGACAGGAUGAUUGCUGUGUCUGUGGUGUUAGGGAACCAAUUAAGCUGGUAUAAAUGUCUACUGCGUGUACUUCCAGGGCUGCCAGAAGUGCUGCAGAUUGUCGGAAGAAGUAAAGGACCCUAGAGCCUUUCACCAUGUUUUUGUAUGCCUGUGGGGAAACUUUCUAGAAGAAUGAUGUAAGUAUCCUCAGGAAUAUGCAUGUCUGUACGUAAUGAAUAGGUAUGCUUAGUGACUAUAUAAGGACGGCUUGUUCAGCAAUUUGGAGACACAGGUUAGGAGGAGCUGUCCCCUGUGUCUGCUGGCGCCGCAAUAAAGAAUACCUGCUUGAAACGUGAAA